rnacentral:tRNA from 1 species
GCCUGGCUGGCUGAGUCGAUAAAACAUGUGAUUCUUAAUCUCAGAGUUGUAGGUUUAAGCCCCACGUUGGGUG